rnacentral:rRNA from 1 species
GAUCAUGGCUCAGAUUGAACGCUGGCGGCAUGCCUUACACAUGCAAGUCGAACGGCAGCACGGGUGCUUGCACCUGGUGGCGAGUGGCGAACGGGUGAGUAAUAUAUCGGAACGUACCUUAUUGUGGGGGAUAACGCAGCGAAAGCUGUGCUAAUACCGCAUACGAUCUAUGGAUGAAAGCGGGGGAUCGCAAGACCUCGCGCGAUUGGAGCGGCCGAUGUCAGAUUAGCUAGUUGGUGGGGUAAAGGCCCACCAAGGCGACGAUCUGUAGCUGGUCUGAGAGGAUGAUCAGCCACACUGGGACUGAGACACGGCCCAGACUCCUACGGGAGGCAGCAGUGGGGAAUCUUGGACAAUGGGCGCAAGCCUGAUCCAGCCAUGCCGCGUGGAUGAUGAAGGCCUUAGGGUUGUAAAAUCCUUUCAACGGGGACGAUAAUGACGGUACCCGUAGAAGAAGCCCCGGCUAACUUCGUG